GCUUCUAUACUGUGAAACUGCGAAUGGCUCAUUAAAUCANUUAUAGUUUAUUUGAUGGUUCCUUACCACUUGGAUAUCCGUGGCAAUUCUAGAGCUAAUACAUGCAGAAAGUCCCGACUUCCGGAAGGGAUGUAUUUAUUAGAUCCAAAACCAGCGCGAGUCCUCCGGGGCUCGGUUUGUUGGUGAUUCAUGAUAACUUCUCGAACCGUAUGGCCCUCGNGCCGACGGUGCUUCAUUCAAAUUUCUGCCCUAUCAACUUUNGAUGGUACGGUAGUGGCCUACCAUGGUUGCAACGGGUGACGGAGAAUUAGGGUUCGAUUCCGGAGAGGGAGCCUGAGAAACGGCUACCACUUCCAAGGAAGGCAGCAGGCGCGCAAAUUACCCAAUCCCGACUCGGGGAGGUAGUGACAAUAAAUAACAAUGCCGGGCUAUCGUAGUCUGGCAAUUGGAAUGAGUACAAUCUAAACCCCUUAACGAGGAACAAUUGGAGGGCAAGUCUGGUGCCAGCAGCCGCGGUAAUUCCAGCUCCAAUA
rnacentral:rRNA from 1 species